UAAACGCAGGCUCCGAGCUGGCCUUGAACUCAUGACCUCUUGGUCAGAGUGAUUGGUCUCAGCUGGCUGCAGCUGGCUGCUCACCAGCUUGCGCCACAGCCCGGGCUAAUAUGUCCCCGAAUUUUAAUCCUCUCUCUCUUUUUUCUUUUGUUUUCCUCUCUGCAGGCAGGUACCCUCCUUAUGGGACCCAAGGAAUACCUACAGGACUGGGUGAGUAAAACUAUGCUUGUGGAAUAAAUUGCACAGAAGUAAGGCAUUUAUUUAUUUAUUUACAAUAUUUAUAUUCCGCCUUUCUCACCCCAAAGAGGACUCAGGGCGGAUCACAUUACACAUAUAAGGCAAACAUUCAAUGCCUUAACAUAGAACAAAGACAAAGACAAAUGCAGGGCUCCGAACUUAUGACCUCUUGGUCAGAGUGAUUAGUUGCAGCUGGCUGCAGCUGGCUGCUCAACAGCCUGCACCACAGCCCGGGCCCAAAUUUAAAUGUAUUUAUUUCCCACAUCUGUACCCCGUCCUUCUCACCCUGAAGGGGACUUAGGACUCAGGGAAUGAUAUUUCACAGGCCCAAAGCUGAUAAAGACAAAUACGUUUUUCAUUAGCUUCCACAAUCCUUUCAAAAAUGGAAGCAGCACCAAUAUAUGGAGGCACAAGGAAGUGGCAAGGAGGUGGCAUGGGUUUCUGAAGAGGCAGAAGGAAUGCACUAUUUCAGAAUGCAGUUGGGAGUACAGAACGGAUAUGGGGCUGGACGCGGCUAUGGGGGCAAACUGGGGAAGCCAGGUUAUGGACUCCCAACUGGAUAUGGAGCAGGUUACAGAGACCUUGGUUAUCCUCGUGCUGGCUUUCCCUUGGCAGGUCUUGGUACAAGAGGCAAGCCUUCCAAAGCAGCAGGCUAUGGGGCAGGACUCAGUGCUGGUGGUUAUCCAGCAGUAGGACUACAGCAAGCUUAUCCUGGCGGCAUGGGAGCUGGUGGUUAUCCAAGCAACGGACUCCAGAAUGGAUAUGGCAAUGGAUAUGGAGCUGGAAGCAAUGGAUUUGCUGGCGCUGCAUCUCAGCCGGGUGGAUAUGGUGUCCAAAUGCCUUAUAGCAGUCAAUUAGGAGGCCCUGCUGGAGAUUCUGCUGCUGCCAAAUAUGGGGGCGCAGGGCAGCUCCCAUACAGUGGUCAGCCACAGCAAGCAGAGGCUGCUGGUCUAGGAGGAGACUAUGGUGCUGGGAGAUACGGUAAUGGAAAUGGCCUGGGAUAUAUGAAUGGUGGAGAAGCUAAUGGGCUAGGGGCAGGUGCAUAUGGUCCCCUUGCAGCCGGGCAAGCACAAAGAGGGUAUGGUGGUCCACUAAGCCCUGGACAAGCACUGGGAGGCUAUGGGGGGAAAGAAUCAAAGUAUGGAAUGAAUGGAUUUCUGGGAAAUGGGUACAGAGUUCGCUGCCCUUCUGGAAAAUGCUGAGGGGGGUGACAUGGCUUCAAGGAAUGACCCACAGCAGGAUUUAGGCAUCCCAACAACCUUUUGGUGCUAAUUCUGAUGACGAGGAGUACCGACAUUUGCCAGUAUAAAUGAUAAUGCCUUUCUUUUUUUCAUACUGUGUUAUUAUUUUAUUAUUACAGAUGUUUCAUUUUAAAAGUUGGGGGAGGAGCUUGCCUUUUAGGUUUUAAAGCCUCCAUCAGCACUUUUUUCCCCAAAAGCUCCAAUCACGGUAGUGAUCUAGUGCUAUAGAAAUAUUCACUGCAGACUUGGAAUUUCCUUUCUUCCUCCAAAGAACGUGACCUUAAAAACCUCCCUUCUUCGCAGGUAGUUUAGAGAUUAUUCCCAUCUGUGUAUAUUGAGCCCCAUACCCCAGUUACCUUUCAAUAAAAAUACAAUUGUUUAGUCUUGUGUUCUUUAUUAUUAAAUCCCACAUUAUCUGCUUUGAAUUGGGAUAUGGGGCAGUGUGGACUCAGAUAACCCAGUUCAAAACAGAUAUUGUGUAAAUUUUCUGCCUUGAUAUCCUGGGUUAUAAGACUGUGUAGAAAGGUCUUACGUAAUUGUUCUGUAUUCACAACAGCCAUUUAGUCACAAUUGUGACACUAUUGCGAGGAUUGUAUCUUACAUUUACCAGGCAUCAGCUGCACGGGAAGAAGGAGAUCUAUUUUGCUGAUGAUCAGAGUAGGAAUGAAUAACAUAUCAGGUUUUAUGCAUUGGCCCAGGAAAAGUUAUUUAGUUAAGUACAGACUCGGUACAAUCCUCGUAUCUGUGGGAUGGCACCCACAGUUUCACUUACCCAUAUUCAACAAUAUAUAUAUAUAUAUAUAUAUAUAUAUAUAUAUAAAAACUGCCCCCUCUAGUUUUGAAACGAGUUUAGAAUCAAAUUUUUCAUGGAUCGAUCAAGCCUAAUAGGUACUCAGCACUAUGAAGUAAAAAAUGUAUUGUGACACAAAAUGUAACAGGCAGCAAUAACAAAUAAACCCUGUUUCUUUUAUUAUUUUCUGCCUUUGCUAUGGCACAACUAAAUAAAUUCUAGUGCAAGCAGUCAUUACUUAAUGAAUGGAAUUUGAAUCCUGCCUUUAUCCCAAUAUGGAAUCUUAAACUACUCACAAUAUAAAUUAAAACCAGACACAAUUAGACAAUGAAUACAAAAGUUUACAAAUUCAUAACUAUUUAAAAUCUUAAUUCAAAACAGUUCUUCAGAGGCCAUAAAAUAUAAGAACAGCAACACCAGUAGAUGAAUAGUCCUUUUAUGUCCAGUUGAGUGCCACAUGAUCUCAGAUAUAAAUACACUUGUUUUUGGAAAACUUCAGUUUGUUGGAGAAUAAGUUGAUACAAAACAUUCUGAAGACAAAAGAGCUAUGGAAAUAAAUCUGAGAUAAGAUUGUGCUGAAACAACAGUCAGGUUUGUGUGUGUGUGUGUGUUUGUUUGUUUUUUAAUAUAACAUCAGGAACCAUCAACUGUUCCUGGCACACUAUUAAAGCCAAAAUAGCAAAACUGAAAUAAUGGGCUUGGCCUCAACUUUGCAGAGAGAAGGCUAUUCAUAAAACUCAGCAACCCAGAAAAGAUGACAUGACUCAGAUAGGUGAUGAAGGGCCCUUCUAGGAAGGCCCUAUAACCCAUGAUCUGAUUCAACGUUUUCUGUUUAUCCCAGAUUAUCUGGUAGUGCAGAUUCAUAUAAUCCAGUUUAAAGUUGAAAACCUGGGAUCAGAUCCUGGGGUAUAGAGCCUGUCUGGAAGGGCCCCAAGUGACUAACAGCAACUCUGAAGAGCUACAGAAAUAUAUUGUUGGGGUGGCAGCUAAUUCAGAAGCAAUUUGAGGAUGGAGUGACAGUGUUAUCAAGCCACAGCACCCCCUUCCCAAAUUGAUCUGGACCUUCAGAGAGACUCCAAGCAAGAGAUAUGAUUUUAUUUUCCUUUAAAAAAUAUUUUCUGCUCUUUCAAAGUUACACAUUAUCGAAGCCUCUGGAAGCUCCGAAAGAAUCCAGCAGCAACUGUACCUCAAAUGUCUAAACCCUUUAAUAAAUGUAUAAAAUAUUUAUUGUGUAACUUGUUUUGAUUGUAUACUGUAUAAAUUCCUAAAUGUAUAAAACUGUAUCAAAUAUAUUAUGAAGGGAGCUGCUUCUCCCAGUGCCCAAUACAGUAGAUUCUCACUUAUCCAAGCUAAACGGGCCGGCAGAAGCUUGGAUAAGCGAAAAUCUUGGAUAAUGAUAAUAAUCUUGGAUAAUAAGAAGGGAUUAAGGAAAAACA
rnacentral:lncRNA from 11 species